rnacentral:rRNA from 1 species
UACGUAGGGUGCAGGCGUUAAUCGGAAUUACUGGGCGUAAAGCGUGCGCAGGCGGUUUCUUAAGUCAGAUGUGAAAGCCCCGGGCUUAACCUGGGAACUGCGUUUGAAACUGGGAGACUUGAGUGUGGCAGAGGGGGGUGGAAUUCCACGUGUAGCAGUGAAAUGCGUAGAGAUGUGGAGGAACACCAGUGGCGAAGGCGACUCUCUGGUCUGUAACUGACGCUGAGGCGCGAAAGCGUGGGGAGCAAACAGG